ensembl:lncRNA
UUCGGUUUAGCCUUCCUCAGCUCUUCGAAAACUAUUUUGUUGUUACUGCUGAUCUCCAGACUGUGUUUUCUUGUUUCUGUCUUUCUCCAGAAGGCCGUAGCGUAGCCGUAGCGAGGUGGCAGACGUACAGGCUGCGCUGCCAUACAUCCACAGCGCUUUUAAAAGACAGAGAGAGGUUGCCUUUCUCCCGAGUGCCUUUAUGGCGAAUUAAUGAUUUAUUGCUUCGGCUUCUUGCUCUUCUCAUCUUACUUGGAGGGGGGGGCAGUUUAACAAGCAUUCUCAUUUUCACUCCCAGCCUUCACAACGUCCUCACUCACAGAGAAAUGUGCCACGGUGCCGCUGUGUGCUGCACAGCUGUGACCCAGUUCAGACACUUUUUCACCACAACAACCUCAGCGGGGAACAAGAAAACCCAAACCCGGCGGCACGGCUCACGGUGCACGCUGCUCCAAAAACUCAAACCGGCUCCUCUGCAUAUCAGGCAGCCACGUUCACCACGACGGGCAAUCUGAUGCACCCACUGCGUAGGAGUGGACUUCAUUACCGCACACUUUGUAAUGUCUGAGCUUAAAGCUACUUUCCAAUUACUGUCUGCAAACUUAAGGAGAAAAUAAUUUUCUAACCUGUUAUCCAGCAGCAGGUUGCAUCUUCAAAAGUAGUUUUAAGGUCCAACAGGUGUCUGAGGGUGGGUUGAAAAAAAAAAGAUAAAAGCAAAUAAAUAAGGCAAAUAAAUAAAUAAAUAAAACAGGAGCCAAUCCCCCCGCCUGGCAUGCAUGGACUGCAUUCAUAAAGCAUCUUUUCUACUUUAACUUAGCAAACACUGUGUUUUUAACUCAUGAUGGCACUUUGAAUAAGUUUGUGAUUACUGUGCAGCAGCUCAAUAGCUGCUAUCUGGUUGCUAAACUUUACCAGUGGUAAUUUACAUACCUUAAGUACCCUGUUGAUAGUGUUUUGAGGUAUUUAAUUGUAAAUAUUUGAUAAACAAAAUAGAUUGCUUUGUGGUUAAUAUCUCUUUAAAGCUUGUUUAAGAUAUCUGUGCUACAGUUUUGCUCCUAAUCACCAAUUAGCAUCCAUGAAUGUGCUUCGCUAACCAAGCUCGCUAUUAGCUGAUAGUUUAGCACCAAGGUUAUUAUAGUUAACUAAAACUAAACUAAAAACUUAAAGUAGAUGUGAAAAAAUGUGGUUAACUAAAAUAAACAUAUAGAUGAAGGAUUAUUAGUAUUUGUUAGUUUGGUAAAAAAAAUAAAUGAAAAGAAAAAAAAAGAUGAUGAGAGUUUGAUGGAUGUGUUUAUUGAGACUCUGGAUAUCUGCAGGAUGUCUUCAAAAAGUUAAUUUUCUUUUUUUACAUUUUAAAUACCUGUCCUAAUUUUCCUAAAUCGUGCCUCUGGCCUAAAGCCCUCCACAAAACAAUAAUAAAAUAUAAAAAGAGUAAAGCUAAUACUGAAACUCUAAACUAAACUGAAGUAAGAAAAACGACAGUCAAAAUGAAAUAAAAAUCAAAACAUAUUAGUAAAUACAAAACCCCAGUGGGUGAUUUCUAAGUGGAUAUGUCCCUCUUUUAUACACGAUCUUGCUUAAGGACACUUGGACGUGUAGAAAGCUGUAGUUGGAGAUUGAACCAACAACCUUGUGAUUAGAAAAAUUGGUUUGGUCAGCUUCACCUUCUACUUUAAACCGAGGGAAAAAUAAAUGGAAAAAGACUUUAAGGACAGUUUCAUGAGAGAAACUGUUAAAUAUAUGAGCUGAAAGCUGGUAGGACAGAGACAGAAACAUGAUUUUUAGUUGAUGUGGAGGAACACUGUAGAUUUAACGGCUCUCUUCAUCCAUGGAAAGCUGUUAUAUCUGUCCGCUCAGACACUCACUUAGAGAGCCAAAAAAGUACUUUGUGGGAUGUGUUCUCUUGCUAGCUUUCCUAUAUUUAUAUGACAUUUACUUGUGACUUUAUUUUUAUAUGUUUACUACUUAGGAGAAAACUUUUUAGAGCACACUCAGA